rnacentral:rRNA from 1 species
GACGUAGGGGGCCAGCGUUGUUCGGAAUUACUGGGUGUAAAGGGUUCGUAGGCGGUGUGGCAAGUUGGGAGUGAAAUCUCUGGGCUCAACCCAGAGGCUGCUUCCAAACUGCUGUGCUUGAGUGUGAGAGAGGCUCGUGGAAUUGCAGGUGUAGCGGUGAAAUGCGUAGAUAUCUGCAGGAACACCCGUGGUGCGAAAGCGGCGAGCUGGAUCACUACUGACGCUGAGGAACGAAAGCUAGGGGAGCAAACAGG